GCCAGGCGUGGUGGUGCGCACCUGUAAUCCCAGCUACUCGGGAGGCUGAGGCAGGAGAAUUGCUUGAACCCAGGAGGCGGAGGUUGCAGUGAGCCGAGAUCGUGCCACUGCACUCAGCCUGGGCAACAAAGCAAGACUCUGUCUCAA
rnacentral:SRP_RNA from 1 species